GCCCCCGCCCCCACCGCGGGGCGCCCGAGCGCCUCUUUGGCCUGAGCCUUCCGCACCCAGACCUUCCCCUCUGCCCCUUCCCACACCCCAACCCACCCCAGGCCUCGCCUGGAAGCGGAGAAUUUCAGGAAUCUCAGAAAUCUCAGAACACAGACAGGCUUUACUGAGCACCUACUGCGCGCCGAGCUCUGCGCAAGGCCCCGCCCGCCCCCACCGCGGGGCGCCCGAGCGCCUCUUUGGCCUGAGCCUUCCGCACCCAGACCUUCCCCUCUGCCCCUUCCCACACCCCAACCCACCCCAGGCCUCGCCUGGAAGCGGAGAAUUUCAGGAAUCUCAGAAAUCUCAGAACACAGACAGGCUUUACUGAGCACCUACUGCGCGCCGAGCUCUGCGCAAGGCCCCGCGGGGAGCUGGAGGCCCUGGCGACAGCGACAGUCUUCCUGAUACAUCUCUAUCUCCCUGACUUGCUAUCCUA
rnacentral:lncRNA from 1 species